GACGAACGCUGGCGGCGUGCUUAACACAUGCAAGUCGAACGGUGAAGCCCUUCGGGGUGGAUCAGUGGCGAACGGGUGAGUAACACGUGAGCAACCUGCCCCUGGCUCUGGGACAACCACUGGAAACGGUGGCUAAUACCGGAUACGACCCGCCUCGGCAUCGAGUGUGGGUGGAAAGUUUUUCGGCUGGGGAUGGGCUCGCGGCCUAUCAGCUUGUUGGUGAGGUGAAGGCUCACCAAGGCGACGACGGGUAGCCGGCCUGAGAGGGCGACCGGCCACACUGGGACUGAGACACGGCCCAGACUCCUACGGGAGGCAGCAGUGGGGAAUAUUGCACAAUGGGCGAAAGCCUGAUGCAGCGACGCCGCGUGAGGGAUGACGGCCUUCGGGUUGAAAACCUCUUUCAGCUCCGAAGAAGCGAAAGUGACGGUAGGAGCAGAAGAAGCACCGGCUAACUACGU
rnacentral:rRNA from 1 species